GUAAUUUGGUGGGCAUGGGCAUCAUUCCACUAUGCUUCAAACCUGGAGACGAUGCUGAUACACUUGGGUUGACAGGCCAUGAGCGCUAUACUAUCAAUCUUCCCAACAGCGUUAGUGAAAUUAGACCUGGUCAAGAUGUCACUGUGGCUACAGACACCAGCAAGUCAUUCAGCUGUACUGUACGGUUUGAUACAGAAGUAAUAAAACACAAUUUAGUCAAUUCUCGCCUUGUUCAGUUAUUCUUAUAAGAGCUCUCAGCAGCUCCUGGAAUUUCCUGCCCAGCUGAGGCUUUGUUUUCUUAAAUGUAGGUGGAACUGGCUUAUUUCAACCAUGGCGGCAUUUUACAGUACGUCAUCAGGAACUUGAUUGGAUCAA
rnacentral:lncRNA from 1 species